rnacentral:rRNA from 1 species
UACGGGGGGGGCAAGCGUUGUUCGGAAUUACUGGGCGUAAAGGGCGCGUAGGCGGCCUGCUAAGUCGGAUGUGAAAUCCCUCGGCUCAACCGAGGAACUGCAUCCGAUACUGGCGGGCUUGAAUCCGGGAGAGGGAUGUGGAAUUCCAGGUGUAGCGGUGAAAUGCGUAGAUAUCUGGAGGAACACCGGUGGCGAAGGCGGCAUCCUGGACCAAUUCUGACGCUGAGGAGCGAAAGCCAGGGGAGCAAACGGG